CCUACGGGAGGCAGCAGUGGGGGAUAUUGGACAAUGGGGGGAACCCUGAUCCAGCGACGCCGCGUGAGUGAAGAAGUAUUUCGGUAUGUAAAGCUCUGUCAGCAGGGAAGAAAGAAAUGACGGUACCUGACCAAGAAGCCCCGGCUAACUACGUGCCAGCAGCCGCGGUAAUACGUAGGGGGCAAGCGUUAUCCGGAAUUACUGGGUGUAAAGGGAGCGUAGACGGCAGCACAAGUCUGGAGUGAAAUCCCGGGGCUUAACCCCGGAACUGCUUUGGAAACUGUGCGGCUGGAGUGCAGGAGGGGUAAGCGGAAUUCCUAGUGUAGCGAUGAAAUGCGUAGAUAUUAGGAGGAACACCGGUGGCGAAGGCGGCUUACUGGACUGUAACUGACGUUGAGGCUCGAAAGCGUGGGGAGCAAACAGGAUUAGAUACCCGAGUAGUC
rnacentral:rRNA from 1 species